rnacentral:rRNA from 1 species
UCGGGAAUAUUGGACAAUGGGCGAAAGCCUGAUCCAGCAACGCCGCGUGCGGGACGAAGGCCCUCGGGUCGUAAACCGCUGUCAGGAGGGAGGAACGGUGCGUGGUUAAGAGCUGCGUACUUUGACAGUACCUCCAGAGGAAGCCCCGGCUAACUCCGUGCCAGCAGCCGCGGUAAUACGGAGGGGGCGAGCGUUAUUCGGAAUUAUUGGGUUUAAAGGGUCCGUAGGCGGGCCUAUAAGUCAGAGGUGAAAGGCCACGGCUCAACCGUGGGACUGCCUUUGAUACUGUAGGUCUUGAGUCGUUGUGGAGUUGCCGGAACAUGUGGUGUAGCGGUGAAAUGCAUAGAUAUCACAUAGAACACCGAUCGCGAAGGCAGGUAACUAACAACGUACUGACGCUGAUGGACGAAAGCGUGGGUAGCGAAC